rnacentral:rRNA from 1 species
CAGCCGUAAACUAUGCUCGCUAGGUGUCAGGCAUGGCGCGACCGUGUCUGGUGCCGCAGGGAAGCCGUGAAGCGAGCCACCUGGGAAGUACGGCCGCAAGGCUGAAACUUAAAGGAAUUGGCGGGGGAGCACAACAACGGGUGGAGCCUGCGGUUUAAUUGGACUCAACGCCGGACAACUCACCGGGGACGACAGCAAUAUGUAGGCCAGGCUGAAGACCUUGCCUGAAUCGCUGAGAGGAGGUGCAUGCGUAGACGUCU